UACGGAGGGGGCUAGCGUUGUUCGGAAUUACUGGGCGUAAAGCGCACGUAGGCGGCUUUGUAAGUUAGAGGUGAAAGCCCGGGGCUCAACCCCGGAACAGCCUUUAAGACUUCAUCGCUUGAACGUCGGAGAGGUGAGUGGAAUUCCGAGUGUAGAGGUGAAAUUCGUAGAUAUUCGGAAGAACACCAGUGGCGAAGGCGGCUCACUGGACGACUGUUGACGCUGAGGUGCGAAAGCGUGGGGAGCAAACAGG
rnacentral:rRNA from 1 species